GGGAGCGGAUGGGGUCUGGUGGCCCCUGCGGUCUUCAAAACCGUCAUCGGGCGCGCGCGCCGCGUCCGAGGUGGGUUCGAUUCCCACACGUUCCCGCCA
rnacentral:tRNA from 1 species